rnacentral:rRNA from 1 species
UCCGUAGGGGGACCUGCGGAGGGAUCAUUACACAACAAAAUAUGAAGGCCUGGCUUCGCGGCCGGCUGAAAUAUUUUUUUCACCCAUGUCUUUUGCGCACUUGUUGUUUCCUGGGCGGGUUCGCCCGCCACCAGGACCAAACCAUAAACCUUUUUUUUAUGCAGUUGCAAUCAGCGUCAGUAAAAACAAUGUAAUUAUUACAACUUUCAACAACGGAUCUCUUGGUUCUGGCAUCGAUGAAGAACGCAGCGAAAUGCGAUACGUAGUGUGAAUUGCAGAAUUCAGUGAAUCAUCGAAUCUUUGAACGCACAUUGCGCCCUUUGGUAUUCCAAAGGGCAUGCCUGUUCGAGCGUCAUUUGUACCUUCAAGCUUUGCUUGGUGUUGGGCGUUUUUUGUCUCCCUCUUUCUGGGAGACUCGCCUUAAAACGAUUGGCAGCCGGCCUACUGGUUUCGGAGCGCAGCACAUAUUUUGCGCUUUGUAUCAGGAGAAAAGGACGGUAAUCCAUCAAGACUCUACAUUUUUAACUUUUGACCUCGGAUCAGGUAGGGAUACCCGCUGAACUUAAGCAUAUCAAAGCCCGGAGG